GACGAACGCUGGCGGCGUGCUUAACACAUGCAAGUCGAACGGAAAGGCCCUGCUUUUGUGGGGUGCUCGAGUGGCGAACGGGUGAGUAACACGUGAGUAACCUGCCCUUGACUUUGGGAUAACUUCAGGAAACUGGGGUUAAUACCGGAUAGGAGCUCCUGCUGCAUGGUGGGGGUUGGUAAGUUUCGGCGGUUGGGGAUGGACUCGCGGCUUAUCAGCUUGUUGGUGGGGUAGUGGCUUACCAAGGCUUUGACGGGUAGCCGGCCUGAGAGGGUGACCGGCCACAUUGGGACUGAGAUACGGCCCAGACUCCUACGGGAGGCAGCAGUGGGGAAUAUUGCACAAUGGGCGGAAGCCUGAUGCAGCAACGCCGCGUGCGGGAUGACGGCCUUCGGGUUGGAAACCGCUUUCGCCUGUGACGAAGCGUGAGUGACGGUAAUGGGUAAAGAAGCACCGGCUAACUACGUG
rnacentral:rRNA from 1 species